CUGCACAGGGCCUUUGAGUGCUAUUUCUAAUGCAGCACCGAAACUUUAUUUAUAACAGUGUGCAGUGGUGUCUCCUUGUUGUUUUAAUGUUUCAGUUCCCUAAUGACAUAUGCCAUUGAACAUCUUUUCAUUUGCUUAGGUGCCACUUCUGCUCCAGUUUUAACGGCUUAGUUGAUGCUUUCUGCAGGAAAGCUCUCUCCCCCAUUGUGUCAGAUAGCCUUUGCUGUGUAAUAGAUGACUUCAAAACUUGGUAGCUGAAAAUAGCAAUCAUAUAUCUGUGGGUCACGUGGAGUUCAGCUGAUUAGGCAGGGUUGCGCUGGUUGGCCCAGCUUUGGGCUUGUGGGUCUCCUGGGUCUGCUGGGUCUGCUAGGUGACUCUGUUCCAUAGGCCUCCAACCUUCUUUAAGCGUAUCUGCCAUCAUAUGUUCUCACGACAAAGGCAGAGGCACAACAGGGUGAGUGGAAACAUGACAUUUCUUAAAGUCUGGACUCACUGAGACAUACCUGCAAUUAGUUACAGUAAGUCACAGGGCCAACUCCAAAUUCAAGGGGCAGUAUGAGGCCAUAGCAAGGAUGUGGAUGCAUGAUGGGGACGAGAGAAGAAUUAAGACCAACAAGUCAAUCCACCACAGUGCACUACUUUGAUCAUAACUUUCCUCUAACAUGCAAAUGUCCUUACCCCCAACCCAGGGUCCCAAAGGGCUUGAUUGGAUCUGCAGGAUGUCAUGGAGACCUGUAGACUAAAAUGCAUUUUCCUAAGAAGAGGUUCAAAGAACUGAGUGAUGUAGACGAGACCAAAUUCCUUCCAUUUUCAUUUACUUACAUAUAAGGACACAAUUUCUCAGCACAAACAAGAAAAC
rnacentral:lncRNA from 1 species